GUCACAGACCUUCGUGCUGCACUCAGCUUCCGAGCUGGGUAGAAGGCCAGUUGGUCCUCAUCUCUCUAAGUGGGCAGCACCCAUGUCAGGAGUGUGGGAAGAGUCACUGCCUCAUUUCGGUUUGUCUCAUGUCUGUCCUUCGGAGCUCCAUUGUGUGGGAAGCAUCUCCAUCAGGAUGGUUGCAGUAUCCAGGGAACAAGUACAGGGCCUGGCACCUCGUGGGGUGGGCAACAGCAAAUACCAGCUUUUCUGAGUAGAUGCUCCAAGGAAAGAGAAGAAUCAGGCUGGGUGGGUAGGAAGCCCACACCAACACAGGCCUUGGUUUUGGAAGGUGCUGGAUGUCUGGUCUGAGAAGGGAGGCUGAAGAGGCUGUAACCUAUUUCUUGGAUGAUUCUUGGACCUGUGGGGACUCAGUUUCUCCUGAGCAUGUGGAGAGCUGGGCCUUUUCAAGGGCAGCCUCUCUGAUGGGACUGGCUGUCAGCUUCUGCAAGAACUGCACUGGGUAUUUUCAGAAUUACAACAACCGCUUCCCACGCCCCAGGCAAGGCCAGAUCGAGACGGU
ensembl:lncRNA